rnacentral:rRNA from 1 species
UAACGGCGAGUGAAGCGGCAACAGCUCAAAUUUGAAAUCUGGCGCAAGCCCGAGUUGUAAUUUGCAGAGGAUGUUUCGGGUGAAGCCACGGUCCAAGUCCCUUGGAACAGGACGUCAUAGAGGGUGAGAACCCCGUACCUGGCCGUCGGUGCCCCCCGCUGUGAAACUCCUUCGACGAGUCGAGUUGUUUGGGAAUGCAGCUCUAAAUUGGUGGUAAAUUCCAUCUAAAGCUAAAUACCGGCCAGAGACCGAUAGCGCACAAGUAGAGUGAUCGAAAGAUGAAAAGCACUUUGAAAAGAGAGUUAAAAAGUACGUGAAAUUGUUGAAAGGGAAGCGCUUGCGGCCAGACUUGCCCGCGGUUGCUCAGCCCGCCUUUUGGCGGGUGCACUCUUCCGCGGUCAGGCCAGCAUCGGUUUGGGCGGCCGGAUAAAGGCGCCGGGAACGUGGCCUCCCCUCGGGGAGGUGUUAUAGCCCGGCGUGCAAUGCGGCCAGCCCGGACCGAGGUUCGCGCUCUGCUAGGAUGCUGGCGUAAUGGCCGUAAGCGGCCCGUCUUGAAACACGGACCAAGGAGUCUAACAUCUAUGCGAGUGUUUGGGUGUCAAACCCGUGCGCGUAAUGAAAGUGAACGGAGGUGGGAACCGCAAGGUGCACCAUCGACCGAUCCUGAUGUCUUCGGAAGGAUUUGAGUAAGAGCAUAGCUGUUGGGACCCGAAAGAUGGUGAACUAUGCGUGAAUAGGGUGAAGCCAGAGGAAACUCUGGUGGAGGCUCGCAGCGGUUCUGACGUGCAAAUCGAUCGUCAAAUUUGCGUAUAGGGGCGAAAGACUAAUCGAACC